UGCUUCCCCUGGCUGACCCUCACUCCUACAUUCUGCUCCCCUCUCCGAGAGCAGUUGGCGUCAGCUGGGAAAUCCAUACUUUGCCAAGCUAUGGGUGCCACUCAAUACUUCUGCAAAUCAGACAUCAGGGUCUCAGCUCAGAUACCGAGAAGAACUGCCAGCAAACCGGAAAAAAAAAGAAUCAGCUCUUUGCAAAGCUUGACUCCUGCUCUUUAUGGUAAUUCAGCUAUAUAAUACCCACACCAUUAACUGCUUCACUGCUUCUCUGCACUACAGAACUCAUGCUGCCAUGUUCUGCUCAUGAUCCAGUGCUGUCACAAAAGACUGUCAUGACAUAUCUAGUAGAGGCAUAAAAGAAGAAUUUUGUCCAUUGUGUAUGGCUGAAUGUGCCUGCUACAAAGUUUACAACACUGCUAGCCAGGAACCUAUGGAUCAUGCCUAUUGUCAUGCUUGUAUGGAAUCCGUUUAUUUUAAAACAUGGGGAAAUAAAAGAAAACAGCUACCAUCGCAAACAGGUUUCCAUACAGUUUCAGAACCAGCUUUGUCACCCUUGUUUAUCCAGGGCUGCACCCUGUGUAGAGCUCUAUAUAGUUCAGAGUCAUCUAGUGGCCAGAAAAUACACUGCCAAUAAACAUAUGACAGCUCAAGCUGUCUGUCUAUACAUGUAUAUGAACUUUUAGAUGCACAAUAAAUGCACACAGAUGUUGUGUCUUUGCUGAUUGAAGAGUGGAAAUUGCUUGUUGCUUGACUUGGCCAGCAAUAAAACUCAGCAGUUCUGUUCUCUCCCUGCU